UUGACAAGCCCAGAGAAUGAAGUCCUGUUCCCAUCCAAAGAGCAGAUACCCUGCACAGUACAAGUUCUCCCACUUCCACCUCAAUCUGUUCUGACGUCAUGUCUAGAACUGAGAAAGUUGCUCAGUCUCCUCAGCCAUUCAAUCAUACUAUUCU
rnacentral:sRNA from 1 species